UAGCUAGUUGGUGAGGUAAAGGCUUACCAAGGCGACGAUCUGUAGCGGGUCUGAGAGGAUGAUCCGCCACACUGGAACUGAGACACGGUCCAGACUCCUACGGGAGGCAGCAGUGGGGAAUUUUGGACAAUGGGGGCAACCCUGAUCCAGCCAUGCCGCGUGAGUGAAGAAGGCCUUCGGGUUGUAAAGCUCUUUCGGCCGGGAAGAAAUCGCAUGGGUCAAUACCCUGUGUGGAUGACGGUACCGGAAUAAGAAGCACCGGCUAACUACGCGCCAGCAGCCGCGGUAAUACGUAGGGUGCGAGCGUUAAUCGGAAUUACUGGGCGUAAAGCGUGCGCAGGCGGUUUUGUAAGACAGGCGUGAAAUCCCCGGGCUUAACCUGGGAACUGCGUUUGUGACUGCAAGGCUAGAGUACGGCAGAGGGGGGUGGAAUUCCACGUGUAGCAGUGAAAUGCGUAGAGAUGUGGAGGAACACCAAUGGCGAAGGCAGCCCCCUGGGUCGAUACUGACGCUCAUGCACGAAAGCGUGGGUAGCAAACAGGAUUAGAUACCCUGGUAGUCCACGCCCUAAACUAUGUCAACUAGGUGUUGGGUGGGUAAAACCAUUUAGUACCGUAGCUAACGCGUGAAGUUGACCGCCUGGGGAGUACGGCCGCAAGGUUAAAACUCAAAGGAAUUGACGGGGACCCGCACAAGCGGUGGAUGAUGUGGAUUAAUUCGAUGCAACGCGAAAAACCUUACCUACCCUUGACAUGCCAGGAACUUGCCAGAGAUGGCUUGGUGCCCGAAAGGGAGCCUGGACACAGGUGCUGCAUGGCUGUCGUCAGCUCGUGUCGUGAGAUGUUGGGUUAAGUCCCGCAACGAGCGCAACCCUUGUCGUUAAUUGCCAUCAUUUGGUUGGGCACUUUAACGAGACUGCCGGUGACAAACCGGAGGAAGGUGGGGAUGACGUCAAGUCCUCAUGGCCCUUAUGGGUAGGGCUUCACACGUCAUACAAUGGUCGGUACAAAGGGUUGCCAAGCCGCGAGGCGGAGCCAAUCCCAGAAAGCCGAUCGUAGUCCGGAUUGCAGGCUGCAACUCGCCUGCAUGAAGUCGGAAUCGCUAGUAAUCGUGGAUCAGCAAGUCACGGUGAAUACGUUCCCGGGCCUUGUACACACCGCCCGUCACACCAUGGGAGCGGGUUCCGCCAGAAGUAGGUAGCCUAACCGCAAGGGGGGCGCUUACCACGGCGGGGUUCGUGACUGGGGUGAAGUCGUAACAAGGUAGCCGUAGGAACCUGCGGCUG
rnacentral:rRNA from 1 species